rnacentral:rRNA from 1 species
UUACGGGUAGAUCUCCACCCUUGAAUAAUAAUAUUGUUGCUUUAGCGGAUCGCUUCGGCUAUCGACUUCGGUUGGUACGUAUCCGCCAGAGAACCACAAACUUUGAAUUACAGUGUCGUCUGAGUACUAUAUAAUAGUUAAAACUUUCAACAACGGAUCUCUUGGUUCUGGCAUCGAUGAAGAACGCAGCGAAAUGCGAUAAGUAAUGUGAAUUGCAGAAUUCAGUGAAUCAUCGAAUCUUUGAACGCACAUUGCGCCCCUUGGUAUUCCGGGGGGCAUGCCUGUUCGAGCGUCAUUAUAACCCUCAAGUCUAGCUUGGUGUUGGAGCAUGCUAUCUAGCAGCUCUUAAAAUCAGUGGCAGUGCCUUCCGGUUCUAAGCGUAGUAAUUCUUCUCGCUAUAGAAACCGGUUGGCCCGCGCCAGAACCCCUAAUUUUCUAUGGUUGACCUCGGAUCAGGUAGGGAUACCCGCUGAACUUAAGCAUAUCAAUAAGCGGAGGAAAAGAAACCAACAGGGAUUACCUCAGUAACGGCGUGUGAAGCGGUAAAAGCUCAAAUUUGAAAUCUGGCUCUUUCAGGGUCCGAGUUGUAAUUUGUAGAAGAUGCUUUGGGUGUGGCUCCGGUCUAAGUUCCUUGGAACAGGACGUCAUAGAGGGUGAGAAUCCCGUAUGUGAUCGGUGGCCUUCGCCUGUGUAAAGCUCUUUCGACGAGUCGAGUUGUUUGGGAAUGCAGCUCAAAAUGGGUGGUAUAUUUCAUCUAAAGCUAAAUAUUGGCCAGAGACCGAUAGCGCACAAGUAGAGUGAUCGAAAGAUGAAAAGCACUUUGGAAAGAGAGUUAAACAGUACGUGAAAUUGCUGAAAGGGAAGCGCUUGCAAUCAGACUUGUAUGUAGUUGAUCAUCUAGUGUUUUCACUGGUGCACUCUGCUAUAUUCAGGCCAGCAUCGG